rnacentral:lncRNA from 1 species
GUCCUCUUCUAUCUGUUAUUCUAGCGGUGGAACUGACUCAGCACUCUGGCUGUUAGUAUUUGUUUCUCUUAAGAACUAAUGCAUGUUGAUGCUAAGACAAAUACAUGUUUCUGCAAGCCUCUUGUUCUGGAGUCUUUUCCAUAAUCUUAUUAGAUGUGGUAAUUUUUGAUGCUUUUUUCUCAGCUCCAGCUUCCUCUUUUAUAUAUAUUGGUGGAAGUGUAGAAAUUCCUAAUCUGACUUACACAAAUGAUCUCAAUGAUCCAAAAUCACAGAAAUUCCUCCUGCAAGCAGAAGCAAUCCAAAAUUAUUUUGCAGAAUCCUAUGAGUAUUCCACCUUGGGAAAGUACUACUUGAAAUCUGUAGUGGCUGCAUUCAGUGAAGGAGAGUAUGGACUUCGAGCUUACUACUGGAAUACAUUCUGGGCACCACAAGACAUUGUUGAUUCUCUUAAAAAGUUAACCUCAUUGGAACAAAAAGAAAUCAGUAGUAAACAAUUCCCUCACAUGUUCAGUACUUCUGGGGAGGAAGAUUUUGAUCUUGUUACAAUGGAGCUUUUUGGUAACAAUUUUCAGAUUCCACAGAAUAUGAUGCGAUGCUAAAAUCAGCGGUAUCCUUUGACCUGUAUGCCAAGCCAGGUAACAACAGAUCUCUAACUCUGAUGAAUCCCAAGAAGUCUUUUUAUCAAUGGAGGUUGCGAGUUCCUUCUAACUAUGUGGUGAGACUGGUAGUUACCACUUUGCAUGGUGUCGCUCCAGAGAACUGUGCAUCACACCGCUUAUCUGCAUAUGAUUUCCUUCUUCCUCUACAGAACAAGAUCAUCGCAAGGUAUGGUAGUACAGGACAAAGAUGUUUUUUGAGCUGUACAGAAAUUCUCUGAAACUGCAGAGUUUAAAAUUGAUGUUAAGCAGGCUUCCAAAACGUAAAAGCCUCCAAGUACAGCUUAAUUAAAAAUCUGUAAUAAGGUAAUCAAAAGAUCUUCCAUAUUAUCCACCCCCUAAUGACUUAUAACUCCAGCAUUUUUUUUUACAUUCUGACUGUUUUUUUUACAGUGUUUGAUUUCAUACAAUUAUUGAUACAAAGGUACUUUUUUUGUUAUUUUUUCUGUUACUUUCAGAAAAUACGUCCAGUCACAGGCAAACCUCUGUUGAAAACAGGCUUUUAUCUACAGAAGACUUCAUCCCCAAAGUCCCUUUGUAGUUCACUCACAUAAAUGAUAUCAGAUGAUCUUGUAAUCUUCAGCUACCACUGUUACUAUUCUUCCAGAGACUAAUUUUAUGAUUUUAAGUAUGGACGUUAUCCGCCAUGAAUCUGCCUUCAUUAAUAAAAUAAACUAACAAGUUUUAGAAUCUGAAAAU